rnacentral:rRNA from 1 species
GGACUACCGGGGUAUCUAAUCCUGUUUGCUCCCCACGCUCUCGCGCCUCAGUGUCAGUAUCUGUCCAGGUAGCCGCCUUCGCCACUGGUGUUCCUUCCGAUCUCUACGCAUUUCACCGCUACACCGGAAAUUCCACUACCCUCUACAGUACUCAAGCUAUACAGUUUUGCUUGCAGUUCCCAGGUUAAGCCCGGGGAUUUCACAAACAACUUACAUAACCACCUACGCGCCCUUUACGCCCAGUAAUUCCGAUUAACGCUUGCACCCUCUGUAUUACCGCGGCUGCUGGCAC